UACGUAGGGUGCAAGCGUUGUCCGGAAUUAUUGGGCGUAAAGAGCUCGUAGGCGGUCUGUCGCGUCGAAUGUGAAACCCCGAGGCUCAACCUCGGGUCUGCAUUCGAUACGGGCAGACUAGAGUUCGGUAGGGGAGUCUGGAAUUCCUGGUGUAGCGGUGAAAUGCGCAGAUAUCAGGAGGAACACCGGUGGCGAAGGCGGCUCACUGGUCCGAUACUGACGCUGAGGUGCGAAAGCGUGGGGAGCAAACAGG
rnacentral:rRNA from 1 species